CCUACGGGUGGCAGCAGUGAGGAAUAUUGGUCAAUGGACGCAAGUCUGAACCAGCCAUGCCGCGUGCAGGAAGACGGCUCUAUGAGUUGUAAACUGCUUUUGUACGAGGGUAAAUCCCGAUACGUGUAUCGGGUUGAAAGUAUCGUACGAAUAAGGAUCGGCUAACUCCGUGCCAGCAGCCGCGGUAAUACGGAGGAUUCAAGCGUUAUCCGGAUUUAUUGGGUUUAAAGGGUGCGUAGGCGGUUCGAUAAGUUAGUGGUGAAAUCCCGGGGCUCAACCCCGGCCCGCCGUUGAAACUGGCAGUCUCGAGUUGGAGAGAAGUAUGCGGAAUGCGCGGUGUAGCGGUGAAAUGCAUAGAUAUCGCGCAGAACUCCGAUUGCGAAGGCAGCAUGCCGGCUCCACACUGACGCUGAGGCACGAAAGCGUGGGUAUCGAACAGGAUUAGAUACCCGGGUAGUC
rnacentral:rRNA from 1 species